rnacentral:rRNA from 1 species
UACAGAGGGUGCGAGCGUUGUUCGGAAUUAUUGGGCGUAAAGGGCGCGUAGGCGGCGCCACAAGUCACUUGUGAAAACUCUGGGCUCAACUCAGAGCCUGCAAGCGAAACUGUGGUGCUGGAGUAUGGGAGAGGUGAGUGGAACUGCGAGUGUAGAGGUGAAAUUCGUAGAUAUUCGGAAGAACACCAGUGGCGAAGGCGGCUCACUGGUCCGGUACUGACGCUGAUGUGCGAAAGCGUGGGGAGCAAACAGG